rnacentral:rRNA from 1 species
UACGUAGGGUGCAAGCGUUGUCCGGAAUUAUUGGGCGUAAAGAGCUUGUAGGCGGUUUGUCGCGUCUGCUGUGAAAUUUCGGGGCUCAACCCCGAACUUGCAGUGGAUACUGCCGGGCUAGAGUCCGGAAGAGGCGAGUGGAACUCCUGGUGUAGCGGUGGAAUGCGCAGAUAUCAGGAGGAACACCAAUUGCGAAGGCAGCUCGCUGGGACGUUACUGACGCUGAGACGCGAAAGCGUGGGGAGCAAACAGG